UCCUCCUUGCCUUCCGUCAUGAUUGUGAUGCCUCCCAGCCAUGUGGAAAUGACUUGACCUCUUGCCCACCAGAUAACUCUUGUUAAAACAGAUUUCAAGUCAUAAUCUCUCCUGAAGACUCUUGAUUCAUUGUCAUGCAUCCCCUGGUACUAUUAUACACAUCCAUUAUAAGAAGAAAGCUAACAGAAAAUAUGCUUCCUUGCCAGAGUAUACUACUAAGUUGGAAUCACAGCAGUAUUUUCUUCUAUGAACUCUAUAGCUUAGCUUAUUAAUAUGCUGAUGAAGUCAUUAGCAGUUUCAAUAUUUGCAAUGAAAUCAAUUUGGUUAUACUCAUAAUAAAUUAAAAUUAAAAUAUUUCAAAAAGUCA
rnacentral:lncRNA from 10 species